UACGAAGGGGGCUAGCGUUGCUCGGAAUCACUGGGCGUAAAGCGCGCGUAGGCGGAUCGUUAAGUCGGGGGUGAAAUCCUGGAGCUCAACUCCAGAACUGCCUUUGAUACUGGCGAUCUUGAGUCCGGGAGAGGUGAGUGGAACUCCGAGUGUAGAGGUGAAAUUCGUAGAUAUUCGGAAGAACACCAGUGGCGAAGGCGACUCACUGGACAUGUAUUGACGCUGAGGUGCGAAAGCGUGGGGAGCAAACAGG
rnacentral:rRNA from 1 species